GAUGAACGCUGGCGGCGUGCCUAACACAUGCAAGUCGAACGGAGUUGUUAUUAGGAAGUUUUCGGAUGGAAUAAUAAUAACUUAGUGGCGGACGGGUGAGUAACGCGUGGGUAACCUGCCUCAUACAGGGGGAUAACAGCUGGAAACGGCUGCUAACACCGCAUAAUAUUGCGACAUCGCAUGGUGAUGCAAUUAAAUAUUUAUAGGUAUGAGAUGGGCCCGCGUCUGAUUAGCUAGUUGGUGGGGUAAUGGCCUACCAAGGCAACGAUCAGUAGCCGGCUUGAGAGAGUGACCGGCCACAUUGGGACUGAGACACGGCCCAAACUCCUACGGGAGGCAGCAGUGGGGAAUAUUGCACAAUGGGGGAAACCCUGAUGCAGCGACGCCGCGUGAGUGAAGAAGUAUUUCGGUAUGUAAAGCUCUAUCAGCAGGGAAGAAAAUGACGGUACCUGACUAAGAAGCCCCGGCUAACUACGUGCCAGCCGCCGCAGUAAAAC
rnacentral:rRNA from 1 species